AUGAAAGAAAAGUUCGAUAAGUAUUGGCUUGAUGUGCAUGGUCUUAUGGCCAUGGCAACUAUUCUUGAUCCUAGGUAUAAAACUCACAUGCUGCAGGCUUUAUUUGGAUCUCUUUAUGGAUAUGAACAUGCAGCCAAUAAAGUUGAUGAGCUAAAAAAACUUAUGGUUGAAUUGUUGCUUGAAUACAAAGAAUCUGACGAGCCUGCUGCUUCUGUCCAAGUUGCUGCCCAAGUUGACAAAGAUCAGGAGGAUGAAGCGGGCAUAUUACUUGAUCAAUAUAUGAUGCAGCAGCCCAUUGUUUCUUCUCAGCUACGCACAGAAUUGGACUUGUACUUAGAGGAGCCUGCUCUCCCUAGAACACAAGAGGUUGACAUCAUUACUUGGUGGAAGGUUGGAGGUAUGAAGUAUCCCACCUUGCAAAGGAUUGCUCGUGAUAUAUUACCCAUUCCAGUCACAACCAUGGCAUCCGAAUAUGCAUUUAGUACCAGUGGCAGAAUACUUAGUGCACAUCGAAGUCUCCUUGCACCCAAAACCACAGAAGCUCUUAUGUGCAUGCAAGCAUGGAGUCGUGCUAAUAUGUUUGGUAAUAAUCCAUUCAUUUCAGUCAUGAAUAAUUAUGAAUUGUAUUUUGUUUUCUUUGACUAUCUUCUAACUAAAUGUCGAAUAACUUUGCUUUAG
rnacentral:rRNA from 1 species